AUUAUACUCCCUCCGUCCAACAAAAGAUGUCUCAAGUUUGUUAAAAUUUGGAUUUAUCUAGACAUGACUUAGUGUAUAGAUGCAUUCAAAUUUAGUGAAAGUUGAGACAUCUUUUGUUGGACGGAGGGAGUAUAUA
rnacentral:pre_miRNA from 1 species